rnacentral:rRNA from 1 species
CAGUCGCCGCGGUAAUACGUAGGUGGCAAGCGUUGUCCGGAAUUAUUGGGCGUAAAGGGCUCGCAGGCGGUUUCUUAAGUCUGAUGUGAAAGCCCCCGGCUCAACCGGGGAGGGUCAUUGGAAACUGGGAAACUUGAGUGCAGAAGAGGAGAGUGGAAUUCCACGUGUAGUGGUGAAAUGCGUAGAGAUGUGGAGGAACACCAGUGGCGAAGGCGACUUUCUGGUCUGUAACUGACGCUGAGGAGCGAAAGCGUGGGGAGCGAACAGGAUUAGAUACCCGAGUAGUCCCUGUCUCUUAUAC